UACGAAGGGGGCUAGCGUUGUUCGGAAUCACUGGGCGUAAAGCGCACGUAGGCGGAUUUGCCAGUCAGGGGUGAAAUCCCGGGGCUCAACCUCGGAACUGCCUCUGAUACAGCAAGUCUAGAGUCCGGGAGAGGUGAGUGGAAUUCCUAGUGUAGAGGUGAAAUUCGUAGAUAUUAGGAGGAACACCAGUGGCGAAGGCGGCUCACUGGUCCGGCACUGACGCUGAGGUGCGAAAGCGUGGGGAGCAAACAGG
rnacentral:rRNA from 1 species